rnacentral:lncRNA from 1 species
UACUUUGAAUUUUUUAAAAUACUGCAUUUCAACGUUACUUAUCUCGAUUACUGAGGUUUUGGCACUCAAAAAUUUUGUCCCUGGGCAAGCCCCUCAUUUGUCUCCCCCUAGUCCUGGCUCUGUAUAAAGUGAUUCAAAAGUGAUUCCCCUGCUUAAGUCCCUUCAAAUUCUCUCCAGGUCUUUCAGGAUCAAGUUCAUGGUGGGUAAGUAUGGGAAGUCCCUAAGGCUCUGGUCCGGGCCCUUCCCUUCUGCUCCAUUAAAGACACUUUCCACCAAAGACGAAUCUCUGACCUGGAGCCUCUCAGCGUCCUGCCUUCCUUCACGCUGUUUCCUUUGCCUGAGACUCGCUUUCCUGUUUUCUUUCUCCAGCUGAUCCCUACUCCGGCUUCAUUCCGCUUCUCUGGUGGCAGCGUCGGGAUUUGUGCGGCCUGAAGUUCCCACGCGGCCUUCGUCUUUGUGGGCUUCGCUGGCCUUCCACCCGCAGCUCCAUCUUCCCGGAGGCUGACGCCUAGGGGUGGUCGGCUUCACGUGCUGUCCUCCCCGCCGGACUCCAGUUGGGAGGAAGCAGCAGGAGAGGAGAGGCGGCAAGAACAGAGAGGUCGGUGUGGAUGCCUGCUCCCUCCCUGCCCGAGCCUUGGUUCUGACGCUGGCAGCACUCUCUCACAGCUCCUGCUGGGUCAGAUGAAGAUGCUCUCCCUGGGAACCUCCUCCUGCCCCUGCAGGCCGAGGAGGGUCAUGGUCUCCUGCAGUUGCCAGUUCCGUGGGCCUCCCCCUCUGUGAAAGCUUGGAAGUUGUCACUCCCAUCCUCACAACAAGAAAAAAGCUGAACAAUGUGAAUUUAUGAUAAAAACUUUCAGAAAACUAAGAAUAGAGGGCAACUUCCUCAACUUGAUAAAGAACACCUACAAAAAGCUUACAGCUAACGUCAUACAUACUGGAACCAAAGCAAAGCAAUGCCAGAUGCCAAAUUGCAGAACUGGGUCCAAACCAGAAAGGUCCAAGAUGGCAAUGGGGUGCCAUGCACAAAAGGAAACGUGUGCCAAAGGUGCCAUGUG